rnacentral:rRNA from 1 species
CCUACGGGUGGCAGCAGUGGGGAAUUUUGCGCAAUGGGGGAAACCCUGACGCAGCAACGCCGCGUGCGGGACGACGGCCCUCGGGUUGUAAACCGCUUUUAGUGGGGACGAUGGUGACGGUACCCACCGAAGAAGCUCCGGCAAACUACGUGCCAGCAGCCGCGGUAAUACGUAGGGCGCGAGCGUUAUCCGGAUUCAUUGGGCGUAAAGCGCGCGUAGGCGGGUGCCUAUGCGGAGCCCCAAAUCCCGGGGUGCAACCUCGGGGCGGAUUGCGCACUGGGCGGCUUGAGUGCGGUAGAGGCAGGCGGAAUUCCCGGUGUAGCGGUGGAAUGCGCAGAUAUCGGGAAGAACACCGAUGGCGAAGGCAGCCUGCUGGGCCGUCACUGACGCUGAGGCGCGAAAGCUGGGGGAGCGAACAGGAUUAGAUACCCGUGUAGUC